rnacentral:rRNA from 1 species
AGCGCAGGCGGUUUGAUAAGUCUGAAGUAAAAGGCUGUGGCUUAACCAUAGUAUGCUUUGGAAACUGUCAAACUUGAGUGCAGAAGGGGAGAGUGGAAUUCCAUGUGUAGCGGUGAAAUGCGUAGAUAUAUGGGGGAACACCGGUGGCGAAAGCGGCUCUCUGGUCUGUAACUGACGCUGAGGCUCGAAAGCGUGGGAGCAAACA